UACGUAGGGACCGAGCGUUGUCCGGAUUCAUUGGGCGUAAAGAGCUCGUAGGCGGCUGCUCAAGUCGAAUGUGAAAACUCGAGGCUCAACCUCGAGCCUGCAUUCGAUACUGGGCGGCUAGAGUCUGGUAGGGGGAUCUGGAAUUCCUGGUGUAGCGGUGGAAUGCGCAGAUAUCAGGAGGAACACCGGUGGCGAAGGCAGCUCGCUGGAACGGUACUGACGCUGAGGCGCGAAAGCCAGGGGAGCAAACGGG
rnacentral:rRNA from 1 species